rnacentral:rRNA from 1 species
CCUUCACUCUGGGACAAGCCCUGGAAACGGGGUCUAAUACCGGAUAUCACUCCUGCAGGCAUCUUGGCGGGUCGAAAGCUCCGGCGGUGAAGGAUGAGCCCGCGGCCUAUCAGCUUGUUGGUGAGGUAAUGGCUCACCAAGGCGACGACGGGUAGCCGGCCUGAGAGGGCGACCGGCCACACUGGGACUGAGACACGGCCCAAACUCCUACGGGAGGCAGCAGUGGGGAAUAUUGCACAAUGGGCGAAAGCCUGAUGCAGCGACGCCGCGUGAGGGAUGACGGCCUUCGGGUUGUAAACCUCUUUCAGCAGGGAAGAAGCGAAAGUGACGGUACCUGCAGAAGAAGCGCCGGCUAACUACGUGCCAGCAGCCGCGGUAAUACGUAGGGCGCAAGCGUUGUCCGGAAUUAUUGGGCGUAAAGAGCUCGUAGGCGGCUUGUCACGUCGGUUGUGAAAGCCCGGGGCUUAACCCCGGGUCUGCAGUCGAUACGGGCAGGCUAGAGUUCGGUAGGGGAGAUCGGAAUUCCUGGUGUAGCGGUGAAAUGCGCAGAUAUCAGGAGGAACACCGGUGGCGAAGGCGGAUCUCUGGGCCAUUACUGACGCUGAGGAGCGAAAGCGUGGGGAGCGAACAGGAUUAGAUACCCUGGUAGUCCACGCCGUAAACGGUGGGAACUAGGUGUUGGCGACAUUCCACGUCGUCGGUGCCGCAGCUAACGCAUUAAGUUCCCCGCCUGGGGAGUACGGCCGCAAGGCUAAAACUCAAAGGAAUUGACGGGGGCCCGCACAAGCAGCGGAGCAUGUGGCUUAAUUCGACGCAACGCGAAGAACCUUACCAAGGCUUGACAUACACCGGAAACGUCUGGAGACAGGCGCCCCCUUGUGGUCGGUGUACAGGUGGUGCAUGGCUGUCGUCAGCUCGUGUCGUGAGAUGUUGGGUUAAGUCCCGCAACGAGCGCAACCCUUGUCCUGUGUUGCCAGCAUGCCCUUCGGGGUGAUGGGGACUCACAGGAGACCGCCGGGGUCAACUCGGAGGAAGGUGGGGACGACGUCAAGUCAUCAUGCCCCUUAUGUCUUGGGCUGCACACGUGCUACAAUGGCCGGUACAAUGAGCUGCG